GAUGAACGCUGGCGGCGUGCCUAAUACAUGCAAGUCGAGCGAACAGACGAGGAGCUUGCUCCUUUGACGUUAGCGGCGGACGGGUGAGUAACACGUGGAUAACCUACCUAUAAGACUGGGAUAAUUUCGGGAAACCGGAGCUAAUACCGGAUAAUAUAUUGAACCGCAUGGUUCAAUAGUGAAAGACGGCUUUGCUGUCACUUAUAGAUGGAUCCGCGCCGCAUUAGCUAGUUGGUAAGGUAACGGCUUACCAAGGCAACGAUGCGUAGCCGACCUGAGAGGGUGAUCGGCCACACUGGAACUGAGACACGGUCCAGACUCCUACGGGAGGCAGCAGUAGGGAAUCUUCCGCAAUGGGCGAAAGCCUGACGGAGCAACGCCGCGUGAGUGAUGAAGGUCUUCGGGUCGUAAAACUCUGUUAUUAGGGAAGAACAAAUGUGUAAGUAACUAUGCACGUCUUGACGGUACCUAAUCAGAAAGCCACGGCUAACUACGUG
rnacentral:rRNA from 1 species